GCUGGCGUAGCUCAGUUGGCCAGAGCAGCCGCCUUGUAAGCGGCAGGUCAUGGGUUCGAGUCCCAUCGCCAGCU
rnacentral:tRNA from 1 species